ensembl:lncRNA
CUUGGUUCUGCCUUGGUUCUGCUGUCUCUGUUAGAUUAGGACCUUGUUGCUUUUAUUCCACUUUUUCUUCAUUAAUGUCUCGGGUUUUGUGUUUUACCCUCCGAUACACCGUUUCCUGCCAUUGUGUGUCACAGACACAGACGGCCCCUGGCCUCCUUACAGAGGGUCCCUCCCACCUCCAGCCCCUCACACACACACACACACACACACACACACACACACACACACACACACACACAUACAUACACAGGGCUCAUUUCUUCCUCCACUCACUCAGACUCUGAGGGAUUGUAAAGUUGCAGAGACAAACAGAGAGAGCCGGACUCAGUCCAUUCCCUCGUUCACUUUCUGUCUAUAUCUGCUGGAUGCUGUCUGUGUCUCUCUCUCUCUCUCUCUCUCUCUCUCUCUCUCUCUCUCUCUCUAUCCUGGACGCUGUCUCGAUCUCUCGGAUUAGGACGUGGAAUAUGAACCCUGGACUCUGAGACCCUGUGGGAGUACACCCUCUGAGCUGAAUAAAGAUCUGCCUGUACAGCGCUUCAGCUCCAAAUUCCCACUUGGAAAGUUGGAGCUGUUUGAGAGCUCUGAUUUCUCUGAGCGUAACAUGUGAAAAGGAAGAAGAAGACGAAAUAACAGACAGACAAGGAGACGACACAGCACCUGAAUUCACCUUUAUUUCUGAGUUCAGAUGCCUGAGUUUGCCGCAAUGCUCUAAUGUGGGAAGUAGGAGGGCCCGAGUUGGAAAAUUCUGAGAUCUCAGUUGUUGUGAAUGCAGCAUAGCUCCUUAGCCCCGCCUCUUUUCCUUAAAAUUGUAUAGUUGAUGUAGACACAGUUUUCACCUUUUAAAAAAGUCUUUUUUCCUUAAAAUGAUGUACAACAAGCAAAUAAAGGAUACCCAUAAUGCCCUGCGGCACUUAAAGGCAACACACACACAGCUGAAUCAUCAAACUAUUUCCCCCAAUAUCACUGCUGAGGUUUCUCCAGUGUGAGGAAGUUUUCAUGGCCUCAAUGUGGAGAAAUUGAUGUCAGUGUUUCCUUGCGUGUAUUUAGUGUGUAUUUAGCCUGUGUUUAGUGUGUGUUUAGCAUGUGAUUAGCGUGUUGUUUAGUGUGUAUUUAGCAUGUAUUUAGAGGGUGUUUAGCUUGUGUUUUGCAUGUGUUUAGUGUGUAUUUAGCAUGUGAUUAGCGUGUGUUUAGUGUGUGUUUAACGUGUGUUUUAGUGUGUAUUUAGCAUGUGUUUAGUGUGUGUUUAGUGUGUAUUUAGCAUGUGAUUAGCGUGUGUUUAGUGUGUAUUUAGCGUGUGAUUAGCGUGUGUUUAGCGUGUGAUUAGCGUGUGUUUAGCGUGUGUUUAGCGUGUGUUUAGCGUGUGUUUAGCGUGUGUUUAGCGUGUGUUUAACGUGUGUUUAGCGUGUGUUUAGUGUGCGUUUAGCGUGCGUUAGUGUGCGUUUAACGUGCGUUUAGCAUGCGUCCUAGGACUCAGCUCAUCACAGAUGCUGGUCAGGUCGUUACUUUGUGCUCUGUAGUUUCUAAUUUGUAGUUUAAUUUCACUUUGUGGUAUUAUUACCCUGCAUGUGUAAAGAGACGGAAUCUGAUGUGCGCUGUACUGCUCCUGAAUCCAGGUUUAGGAUUAGACCAGGAGAACAUGUUGUGUUCCAGCGGAACCUUAAGCAGAAGUUCCACCUCAUCAUGAUAACACACAGAUGAAUCGUACUGUUUGGAGUUUUAACUUUUUGAAUGUUUGUUGAGGUUUUUUUUUGCGUGUUUCGCCUUCUCUAACAUUCGAUGCGCAGCUCUUAACGUUGUUCUCGAGGAGUUUGAUGUAACGGUGAUGUUAAUGUCACUGUGCUGGUGUGAUCAUACGAUUGUUUUCAAAUCAUUUCCCACAGCACUGUUCAUGUGGAGAUGAUUCAAAACGAAAUAUCUGUACACGUGUGGACGAGGCCUCAGACACAUAGUAAGAGAAAAGUGGACACCAACUGAUGAUGUCAUCAAUGCCUAUGAUGUGAGAGUGACCUAAACAACCCAGCAACAAUCCCCCUAAUCCUGUAAUAUAAUAUAAUACAGACAGCUGCUUGAUAAUAGUUUUGGUUCUCUAUCACCAGUCGUGACUCACGUGAACAACCUCCUGGUGCAGGCGCGAAUACAUCUUGCUCAAAGUUAAUUUGGUAGAAAUGAACACAAAUUGUUCUCUGAAAUGCUUUGUUAGCAUACGUCCUGUUUUUCAGACCUUAAAAAAGGGUCUAAAUUCGAGAAAAUGUCCGUGAUUCAGCUUUAGUUUCAUUAUGAUGUGUUUAUGGUCUGAUACUGCAUCAUGUGUGCGCAUGAUUGCAUCACUUUCACC